GUACACGCUGUGACUAGCAUAUCAAUAAGCGGAGGAAAAGAAACUAACAAGGAUUCCCUUAGUAACGGCGAGUGAAGCGGGAAGAGCUCAAAUUUGAAAUCUUCAAGGUUUUACCUUGACGAAUUGUAGUUUAAAGAAGUGUUUUCUGCUGAAGUUUUGGUAAAAGUUCUUUGGAAUAGGACAUCAUAGAGGGUGAGAAUCCCGUAUUUGACCAUUAUUUUCAGCUUUGUGGUACACUUUCAAAGAGUCGGAUUGUUUGGGAAUGCAGUCCAAAAUGGGUGGUAAAUUUCAUCUAAAGCUAAAUAUUGGCGAGAGACCGAUAGCGAACAAGUACCGUGAGGGAAAGAUGAAAAGAACUUUGAAAAGAGAGUUAAACAGUACGUGAAAUUGUCAAAAGGGAAGCGUUUGACACCAGUGUUGUUUUCUCGAAAAUCAAUUAAAAAUGGCUCGAUUUUGUAUUGCUUGAGACCUUAAAAGCUCACUGUACAUUUUUCGUGUCUUUUUUAAUGCACUUUUCGUUUAACAAGUCAACAUCAGUUUCUUUUGUUGUAAAAGGGUCAUUGGAAGGUGGCUUUCUUUUCGGAGAAAGUGUUUAUAGCCUUUGGCCUCUGCAAUCGAAGAGACUGAGGUCUGCAGCGUAGACUCUUCGGGGUUAGAUACAUUUGUGCUAAGUUAUAGCUUUUUAUAGACAACUUGUUGACUAUAAUUAGUCUUGUAGCUUACUCGCUUAUGCUAUUUUACCUACGCUUAGGAUGUUGAGUAGCGACAUACGCAC
rnacentral:rRNA from 1 species